UACGUAGGGUGCAAGCGUUGUCCGGAAUUAUUGGGCGUAAAGAGCUCGUAGGCGGUUUGUCGCGUCGAAUGUGAAAACCCGGGGCUCAACCCCGAGCCUGCAGUCGAUACGGGCAGACUAGAGUGCGGUAGGGGAGACUGGAAUUCCUGGUGUAGCGGUGAAAUGCGCAGAUAUCAGGAGGAACACCGGUGGCGAAGGCGGGUCUCUGGGCCGUAACUGACGCCGAGGAGCGAAAGCGUGGGGAGCAAACAGG
rnacentral:rRNA from 1 species